GGAGCUGCUUCGGGAGACGGUCGUCGCUCAUACGCUGCACGUGGCCGGCCCACCAUAGUAGGGCCAGGGUGAUCAUGGCCUCGAUACUCGUGAGGCCAGCCCGGGUGAGGAUCUCAUUAUUAGUCACUCUCUCCUCCCAGGAAACGAUGAGGAGAGAUCUGAGUCGUCCUUGGUGGAACCUCUCGAGCCUCUUGAUGCUGCUCCGAUAGAGGGUCCAACAUUCGGCGCCAUAGAGAAGGGUCGGGAGGACGACAGACUUAUACACCAUGAUCUUCGUGUUGGUGGAAAUGGCGUGAUUCCUGAAGACCCGACGACCGAGGCGUCCAAAGGCUGUGUGGGCUGGCUGGAUACGGUGAGUGAGGUCCUCCGUGAGGCCGGCGUCCUGCUGGAUAAUGCUGCUCAGGUAAGGGAACGCAGAGACCUGCUCGAUGGGUUCGUCGUCUAUGGUGAUUUGGGGUGGACGAUGGUUCAGGUGGAGGGUCUUUGUCUCUUUGGUGUUGACGGAGAGGCCAAAGGUCCUGUACGCCGCGGCGAAACCGUCCGCGAUGAGCUGUAGGCCCCCGGAGGAGUUGGAGACUGCAGCAUUGUCAUCAGCGUACUGGAGUUCGCUGACGGUCGUGACCAUGGUCCCCCGCCUGCUCCUCAAACGGCUGAGGUUGAAGAGCGACCCUUCAGUUUGGUAGCGUAGAGGACAGGGGUGACGUGGUGGAUGAGUGUGGCGAUGUAGAGGCAGAACAACGUCGGCGCCACCGUGCAGCCCUGUUUGACACCGGUCCGAACCGGGAAUGGGGGAGUCAUUUCGCCCUGAGUCAGGACGCAACCCUUCAUGCCAUCGUGAAACAGCCGGAUGAGGGAUAUGAAUUUGGGGGGGCAGCCUUGACGUUCCAGCACUUUCCAGAGUGCUGCUCGGGGCACAGAAUCAAAUGCUUUGGCCAGAUCAUAAAAGAUAGCGUGGAACUCCCUCUGCUAGAGGGAGGAGCUGUCUGGCGCAGAACACCAUGUCCGCGGUUCCCUUUCCUGGACGGAAGCCCGCCUGGGACUCCGGAAGAACCCGCUCAGCGAGACAGUUUCCACAGUCGAGUUUGUCGCCCUUCUUGAAUAUCGUGACAAUGACGGAGUUCUUCAGUUCCCCACGCACCGUCUCCUUGACCCAGCAUUGAAGGAUGAAGGUGUGGAGGCGGGGCUCCGGAGAUCUCCCGGAGAGUCGGCAGCUCCGUCAUCCAGUGUUGCACGGGGUGCUGGGGGACAGGAUCGAGGAAGCCGUCUGUUGCGCAUGUCGGACGAUUCAGGAGCUCCAUGAAAUGCUAAUUCCAUCGCUGGUAAGUAUCCUCCUUUUCCUGCAGGAUUGUGCCGUCCUUUGCCUUCACAGCCAUUGGAGGACUGUGAGCCGGACCGAUGAUCUUCCUCAUUGCUUCGAAGUAGGAUCUGGUAUCGUGACGGUCAGCGAAACUCUUCAUUUGGUGGGCAAAGUUGACCCACCAUUGAUUUUGGAUUCUCCGGCUCUCUCUCUGUGCUUCACUCUUGGCCGCCCGGUUUUCGGCAAACCAAUCGGGAUUUCUUCUCUUCUGGACCUCUUCCGCGGAUUUGGUGAGCGCAGUUUUCAAGUGCUCCCAGUCUGAGUGGACAGUGGCAGGAAGCAUCCGAGGCACGAUCUUCAGCCUAAGUCUUGAGGCUACAAGCCUGUGAUCGGACCAUCCGUCAUCUAUGGAGCGGAUGGCCCUCGUGACCAUGACGUCCGCUCGGUCGCAGAUGCGGUUGCCAACGCCUUCCUUCCCCAGAAUCUCUCCCCAAAGCUGAUGGUCCCGGCCCACCCGCGCGUUGAAAUCCCCCAGAACCAAGAGCUUAUCCCGGUGGUUGACGCGGAGGAUCAGGCCACGCAGCGCGGCAUAGAUGGACUCCUUCGCCUCCUCCGAGGCGUCCAGGCUCGUCCGCUCCAGAAAAAGGUGUACCCAUGCCGAGCCUCCUCGAUCUGCCCGGCACGAGGGAGAUGGGUCUCGGAGAGUCUCGGGAGCUUCUGAAUCUCAAGGGCGAUGAUGGCAGUCCUGCGCUCCGGUCUUUUUGCUCUUGCAUUGUCCAUCAGGGAUGAAUCUGCUGGAGGCGGGUCUCCAGCCGAUCGGUGGCGGUGAUGGGCGUGUUUAGGCCGCCUUUUAUUGGCCCUUCCUCGGAUUGAGGGGAGCAGCGCUACGACUAAAGAGUCCUGCUCCGCCACCGUGGUUGCUGCCUCUCCCCUGCACCAUCACCAGUUCGCAAGGGGGGGCGACCAUCGUGCCACGGCCGCCGACGUGUGGUUGUGGAACUAGGGACGUGGGCCCUCAUCUGAGCCUGUCCCCGACGCCCCGCGCCA